rnacentral:rRNA from 1 species
CAAAAGCGUAUAUUAAAGUUGUUGCAGUUAAAAAGCUCGUAGUUGAACCUUGGGCUUGGCUGGCCGGUCCAUCUUUUUUGAUGCGUACUGGACCCAGCCGAGCCUUUCCUUCUGGCUAGCCUUUUGGCGAACCAGGACUUUUACUUUGAAAAAAUUAGAGUGUUCAAAGCAGGCCUUUGCUCGAAUAUAUUAGCAUGGAAUAAUAGAAUAGGACGUUAUGGUUCUAUUUUGUUGGUUUCUAGGACCAUCGUAAUGAUUAAUAGGGACGGUCGGGGGUAUCAGUAUUCAGUUGUCAGAGGUGAAAUUCUUGGAUUUACUGAAGACUAACUACUGCGAAAGCACUUACCAAGGACGUUUUCAUUAA